rnacentral:lncRNA from 1 species
AUUACACUAUUCACCUAUGAAGCAAUACCUCUGAUACACCCUCGAUGACUUUAAUUCCUCUAAUGUAAAAUAAACUGCCUAUGGGACUUAACUAUUUCAAUAGAUAGGCAUCGAAAUACAGAACUGAUAAUAUACAUGUAGUCAAAUUUGAGCAACACUAAGAAACGGUUUUGGCUGCACAUUUAGUUGUUUGACAAGGUUAUCUAUGCUAGCUUCACUUGCAGCAACAAAAAUGAGUAUUUGGUCUCUAGCUUCAUGUGAUUAAAUUCAAUUUAUCUUCGUUAUCUUUCCCAUGGCCUUAUAAAAUCUUCCUCCUCAAACACAUAUCUAGAGACAAAUAUAUCAACCCCCAGCCUCUACAACAAGAAGUGGAAUAAGAAUCUAUUAGCAUUUAGCUUGAUAAUGGAACAAUGAAUUAUGUGCAAAAGUAUUGUGAAAACUUACAAAACGAGUUGAAGCUACUGCAUUCAACACAUGAAAGUUUCAAACUACAUUAACAAAAACAGAAAUCACAAUUUUUUUUCAAAGUUCACGGGUUAGCAUUUUGAAAUCAGAAAUUUCUUACUUAAAAAACAAACUAUUCCGGGUUUGACCAAGUCCAUUCUAGGCUAUUAGAAAACGCUUCUAGUUGAUUUAUUGGGAUGAUCGGGUCGAGUUGUAACAAUGUACUUAUACUCUAAUAGCUUACUAACUGAUAUAAGUAUUCUAUCUCAGUUUAGUAAGCUAUUAGAGUAUAGGUAAAACACAGGCAGCAAAUAAUUGAAAAGGACAAUUUUUUUUCAAAGUUCACGGGUUAGCAUUUUGAAAUCAGAAAUUUCUUACUUAAAAAACAAACUAUUCCGGGUUUGACCAAGUCCAUUCUAGGCUAUUAGAAAACGCUUCUAGUUGAUUCAUUGGGAUGAUCGGGUCGAGUUGUAACAAUGUACUUAUACUCUAAUAGCUUACUAACUGAUAUAAGUAUUCUAUCUCAGUUUAGUAAGCUAUUAGAGUAUAGGUAAAACACAGGCAGCAAAUAAUUGAAAAGGAUAAAAGAAAUGGAUACAAUUCAUAGUCACGGUACAGAUCACCAAAUGAAAGCACAACAACAUAAAUGAUUGUAAGAGAUAGCAAUUUAUGAAAGGACAGCAGAUUCUAAUUCUCCAUUAUGCUUCCAAUUUAGGAGAAAAAUUCUUAUUAUUUUUAUAUCUCAAAUGAUUGGAAAAUAGAGAGAGAAAAUAAUAACAAAAGAAGUGGCAAAUCAAUAUAAUAAAGAAGUGCCAAACCAUUGUUGUCC